ACCAGCUCCAUCACCUCCAUCCAGAGCCCCAAACAGUCCUUCCAGGAUGGUACGAAUGUGGAAUGAGCUGCCAGAGGAAGUGGUGGAGGCUGGUACAAUUGCAACAUUUAAGGAGCAAUCUGGGAAGUAUUCCAUCUGGACCAGAUGACUUACCAAGCAAACACCAUUUUAUCACAAGAUAUUCUGGAACUUUUGGAAAAAAAAUAGCUUGCUUGUAAAUUUUACGUCACGAGUGGCUGCAAUUUAACUUAUAUCCUCCUCCAUUUUUAAAAUUGAGAUUAAAAACAACACCAAGCAAGAUUGGGCACCUGGAAGGUGGAGCUUCCUGCUUAUUUGGGAGAUGGCACACAAGAAAUUAAGAAUUAAAUACCCAGCGAUUAAAAAAUGUAAA